UACGUAGGUGGCAAGCGUUGUCCGGAUUUACUGGGCGUAAAGCGUAUGCAGGCGGAUGAGUAAGUAGGAAGUGAAAGGUUGGAGCUCAACUCUAACACGGCUCCCUAUACUGCUUGUCUUGAGUGCCGGAGAGGACAAGGGAACUUCACGUGUAGCGGUGAAAUGCGUUGAGAUGUGAAGGAACACCAAUGGCGAAAGCACUUGUCUGGACGGAAACUGACGCUGAGAUACGAAAAGCCAAGGGGAGAGCGAACAGGA
rnacentral:rRNA from 1 species